AACGAACGCUGGCGGCAGGCCUAACACAUGCAAGUCGAACGCAUCGCAAGAUGAGUGGCGCACGGGUGAGUAACACGUGGGAAUGUGCCCUUUGGUUCGGAAUAACGUCUGGAAACGGACGCUAAUACCGGAUGUCCCCUGCGGGGGAAAGAUUUAUCGCCAAAGGAGCAGCCCGCGUCUGAUUAGGUAGUUGGUGGGGUAAAGGCCUACCAAGCCGACGAUCAGUAGCUGGUCUGAGAGGAUGAUCAGCCACACUGGGACUGAGACACGGCCCAGACUCCUUCUGGAGGCAGCAGUGGGGAAUAUUGGACAAUGGGCGCAAGCCUGUUCCAGCCAUGCCGCGUGAGUUAUGAAGGCCUUCGGGUUGUAAAGCUCUUUCGCACGUGACGAUGAUGACGGUAACGUGAGAAGAAGCCCCGGCUAACUUCGUGCCAGCCGCCGCUGUAAAAC
rnacentral:rRNA from 1 species